UACGGAGGGGCUAGCGUUGUUCGGAAUUACUGGGCGUAAAGCGCACGUAGGCGGCUUUGUAAGUUAGAGGUGAAAGCCCGGGGCUCAACUCCGGAAUUGCCUUUAAGACUGCAUCGCUAGAAUUGUGGAGAGGUGAGUGGAAUUCCGAGUGUAGAGGUGAAAUUCGUAGAUAUUCGGAAGAACACCAGUGGCGAAGGCGACUCACUGGACACAUAUUGACGCUGAGGUGCGAAAGCGUGGGGAGCAAACAGGAUUAGAAACCCCAGUAGUCC
rnacentral:rRNA from 1 species